UGGCUCAGCCCGUUAAACAACUGACUCUUGAUUUCAGCUCAGGUCAUGAUCUCAGGGUUGUAGGACUGAUUUCUGCGUCAGGCUCCAAGGUCAGUGGGAAGUCUGCUUCAGAUUCUCUCCCUCUCCUUUGAUCCCUUUCCCCUCACUGCAUACACACUGUCUCUCUAAAAUAAAAAAUUAAAAAAUCUUUAAAACAAAACACAAACACCUGCAUAAUGCAUAGCCUGUAUUAGGGACACAGUACAUUUAGCUACCUUCCUGUAGAAAUUAGUGAAGUCAUAAAGUUACCACCCUCAUUGCUUAUUACAUGAGAAGAAAUAAUCAUUGCUAAUGUAUGGUGGUCUCAAGGCAGCUGAGUCUAAUAACAUCACACCAAGGAAGGGAUUUAUUGUUCCAUAGGUAUGUAUCAAUAAGUUUUGAUACAAUUCGUCUCCAGGGAAGAGAACUGAGGAGUGCCUGAAGGGCAGGGAUAAGAAAGAAACUUCACACUAUAUAACAUUUUGUGCUUUUUAAAUUCUGAAUCUUACAAAUUAUUUAUCCACUAUUAAAAAUACAAUUAAAGAAACAAAAGUCCUUGCCCUCCCCAUUCCAUAUGGGGAAAGUAAAACAUAUGUAUGAGUGAAAACUCAGGAAAGUGUGGGGGUACACUCACCCAAGAUGGGCACCUCUGGUGUCUUUAACUCAAAGAUAUUCAUACUGAACCUUCAGCAAUUACAGUGCAAGUUUUCCCACCAUGGUGCUACUGGUGCCCAUGGAGAUUUCUGUUCUUGGGCUUCAACUCCAAUAGCACAAGUCUCUGGAUCUUACUGAAUCUCCAACUCUG